CAGACCUUCCAAGGAGAGCAAUUAUUCUUUCUUCCCCUUCCCACUUAUCUUCUUAUCUAUGGCAGAAAAGAAGACCAAGGUGUGACCUGACCCGAGAAGACUCCAAGUAUCAUCUGAAUUCCAAAGAAAGCUACUUACAAGUUUUCUGUCAUCUGGGAACCUGUUGCAAGUGCCUUCUGUCGAUUGAUCCAGAUGAUUGUUUACAGCGCAAUUUUGUUAUGGAAUCACCUAACUAUGUCAGCCUACAGCUUGCUUUCCUCUGCCUUGUUCAGAAAGGUCACAGAAGGCUGCUUCUUCACUGCUUUGCUGAAACAUCUUAAAGUGUUGGGCCAGGAGAAGUGUUAGAGACCAUCUGCUUCAAGCCCUUCAUUUUUCAGAUGAAGAAACUGAGGCCAGGUGAGGUAAAGAGGCUGCUAAAAGAUCAUACAGUGACCUGGUCUGCAGCAGAGCCAAAGAUCAGGACUCAGAGAUUCCCGUACCCAGGGACCCUCUGGUUAUUUGCCCAGCAAGGAAACCACUGGUACACUCCAUCAAGUCUGCUGGAAGACUCCAAAACAGUGGACAACAGAGCCCCUGCCCUUGGGAAGAAAGGCUAAGUGGGCCCUGAAAAGUAAGUAAUCAACUGAUGACUAGAGAAACAGAAUGUGGUCCAGACAUACAAUGAAAUACAGUCCAGCCAUGGAAAGGAAUGAAGCGCUGACGCAUGCUACAACGUGGGUGAACCUUGAAAAAUUAUGGUCAGUGAAAGAAGCCAGUGGCAGAAGACCACAUAUUGUAUGAUUCCAUUCAGAGGAUUUGCCACAAUAGGAAGAUCCCUCGAAACAGAGAAAGCACCUUCGUGGGUGCCGGGGGGCUGGGGGGUAGGGGGAAAUGGGGAGUGACUGCUAAUGGGUACAAGAUUUCUUUUUGGAGUGACAGAAAUGUUUUGGAAUUAGACCAUGCUGAUGGUUGCCCAACAAUGUAAUGCACUCAAAACCACUGAACUGUGCACCUUAAAAUGGUUAAAAUGGUGAAUUUUAUGGCAUGUGAAUUAUGCCUUCAUCUUUAACAAGAGCAUCAGCCUGUCUUCCUGCUCUCUGGUGGACAGUGGAGAAGAAAGGAAAGGAAGGAGGUCAAGAACAAACCCUUUCCUCCUCUCCCAGCUGAAGAGCUUUGCAGACGGCGGGGAGGGCCUGGAGGGGCCGCUCUCUGGGCAGCUGAGGGUUGCUUUUCCACCUAAAGGGCCUGUCUGCCAUGUCCUUCCUGGCGCAUCCUGAGUGUCCCCUGGGCUGUGGUCCUGGGACCUCCCCCACUCUUCUGCCCUUCUGCCGCGAUGGAAACUGGGCCUCCCUGGGCUGCUGCUCUGCCUUGGAAGGAAAUGGGGGACACUUGCUUGGCUCUUCAGCACCCGCCCCGUGCUUCCGCGUUUGUGUGAAGGGCAAAGGUUUUAGCGAUCUCCUGCCAGGCUCAGAUCCGCUCCUCUACACGGCACGCCUUGCUCUGGCCAAGGCUCCAUUCGGAGGAAUUCGGGUGCGGCACAGCGUCA
rnacentral:lncRNA from 1 species